UGAUAUGUUUGAUAUAUUAGGU
rnacentral:miRNA from 22 species